UCUCUUGUCAAUGAAAUCGAGUAGGACGGAGCACGAGAAACUUUGUCUGAAUAUGGGGGGACCAUCCUCCAAGGCUAAAUACUACUGACUGACCGAUAGUGAACCAGUACCGUGAGGGAAAGGCGAAAAGAACCCCGGCGAGGGGAGUGAAACAGAACCUGAAACCGUGUACGUACAAGCAGUGGGAGCCUUCGUAAGAGGGUGACUGCGUACCUUUUGUAUAAUGGGUCAGCGACUUAUAUUCUGUAGCAAGGUUAACCGUAUAGGGGAGCCGAAGGGAAACCGAGUCU
rnacentral:rRNA from 1 species